AUUAAACGCUGGCGGCAUGCCUUACACAUGCAAGUCGAACGGCAGCACGGGGCAACCUGGUGGCGAGUGGCGAACGGGUGAGUAAAGCAUCGGAACGUGCCCUGGAGUGGGGGAUAACGUAGCGAAAGUUACGCUAAUACCGCAUAUUCUGUGAGCAGGAAAGCAGGGGAUCGCAAGACCUUGCGCUCUGGGAGCGGCCGAUGUCGGAUUAGCUAGUUGGUGGGGUAAAGGCCUACCAAGGCGACGAUCCGUAGCGGGUCUGAGAGGAUGAUCCGCCACACUGGGACUGAGACACGGCCCAGACUCCUACGGGAGGCAGCAGUGGGGAAUUUUGGACAAUGGGCGCAAGCCUGAUCCAGCCAUGCGCGUGAGUGAAGAAGGCCUUCGGGUUGUAAAGCUCUUUCGGCCGGGAAGAAAUCGCAUGGGUCAAUACCCUGUGUGGAUGACGGUACCGGAAUAAGAAGCACCGGCUAACUACGUG
rnacentral:rRNA from 1 species